rnacentral:tRNA from 1 species
UUGAGAGAAAGUCAAAAAGAGACAAAUUAUUGUUAAUAAUUUUAUUGGGUAUUCCCUCUCCCA